rnacentral:rRNA from 1 species
CCUACGGGUGGCAGCAGUGGGGAAUAUUGGGCAAUGGGCGCAAGCCUGACCCAGCAACGCCGCGUGAAGGAAGAAGGCUUUCGGGUUGUAAACUUCUUUUCUGAGGGACGAAGAAAGUGACGGUACCUCAGGAAUAAGCCACGGCUAACUACGUGCCAGCAGCCGCGGUAAUCCGGAGGUGGCAAGGGUUAUCCGGAUUUAUUGGGUGAAAAGGCGGUGUAGGCGGGAAGGCAAGUCAGAUGUGAAAACUCAGGGCUCAACCCUGAGCCUGCAUUUGAACCUGUUUUUCUUGAGUGCUGGAGAGGCAAUCGGAAGUCCGUGUGUAGCGGUGAAAUGCGUAGAUAUACGGAGGAACACCAGUGGCGAAGGCGGAUUGCUGGACAGUAACUGACGCUGAGGCGCGAAAGCGUGGGGAGCAAACAGGAUUAGAUACCCCAGUAGUC